GGAUUGAGACAAUGUACAAAUGUUAUCGAUAAACAAUUGGAGGGCAAGUCUGGUGCCAGCAGCCGCGGUAAUUCCAGCUCCAAUAGCGUAUAUUAACGUUGUUGCAGUUAAAAAGCUCGUAGUUGAAUUGAAGUGAACUUGGGUUGAUGUGAUCUUCGGAUGACAUGAAUCAAAGUUGACUCUUUCCAAAGUCAAUACAUUGGUAUUCAUUUAUCUUUGUAUUGUGUUUGGUCAUUUACUGUGAGAAAAUUAGAGUGUUCAAAGCAGACGUUUGUUUGAAUACAUUAGCAUGGAAUAAUCAUAUAUGGCUUUCAUGUUGAUUUGAUUGGUUUGAAUAUGGAAGCAAGAUUAAAAGGGACAGUUGGGGGUAUUCAUAUUCAAUAGUCAGAGGUGAAAUUCUGGGAUUUAUGGAAGAUGAACAAGUGCGAAAGCAUUUACCAAGGAUGUUUUCAUUAAUCAAGAACGAAAGUUAGGGGAUCGAAGAGGAU
rnacentral:rRNA from 1 species